ACCAAACGCGUGUUGAGCGCGUGUAUACGUUUUCUGUGGGUUCUAACCCACCAAAUGGCUUGUUUUGAAACACACUCGCCUCUUUCAAAAAAAGCCUCGAGUGUGUGAUUUCAGUGUUUUUCUCCUUUAAUUCCAAUUCAAACCCAACCGAAAUCAAUUGAAUUUUUCAAAACCAUGUAAACCGAACCGAAAUAAAAACACAAACGACAAACUAUUAAUUGUCACUUCCACUAUUGAUCCAACUCCGACGAACCAGAUUGAUAAUUUUGAUUCGAUUCCACACAGAUAACAUAUAGUCCAAACCAAAUGCAAUUCAC